UCAAACGUUGUCCAGGAGCUCUCCUGUGCUCGACUGCAUCGCCCUGCGUUGCUGCUUCAUCGUUGUUCGCCAUCAAUGCGCCGCUAGAGCCGCGCCCGUGCCGCGUCCAGCCUCUGCCCGCCAUUAAAGGUUGGUCGGGAGCUCGUCCGUGAGCUCUAGAGCGUUCCUCCGCGGCUAUAUAAGGCGAUCCCGAGUCCUUCCGCACCUCACCACUCCCUCCCUCGCCUCAUUUUCCCACCGGAGUGCCCUGUCUCGCCUCAUCUCGCUGGAGUUCUCCAUGGCCGCCCCGGUCUCAUCUUGAUUCCGGCCACAACGGCCCUCCUCUCCUCCUCCCAACCUCACCACGAGCUUCCCCACGUCCCCGCGCGUCGCCCCACCCCCUUGCCCCCUCGCGGGAGCCCCUGCUUCACCGAGUACCUCCACCACCCGAGCUGUCUGUAGCCUCCCCGGUCACCGCGCCUCACCGCCUCUCCACCACUCUCCGGCGCCUCCUUUGCCUCUGAAUGGGUGCAGCACUCCGCCCUGAAGCCGCCGGUGCCCGCGCCUUGGCUUGAGGUGGCCGGAGCAGUCCGCUCCAUCGCCGGCGCCCGCCCCCUGUUCUUCUCUGUUGCCAACCACCACCGCAGCUCCAGGCCUCCCCCGCGCCUCUUCUCUCUUGGAGCGGGUGCGGCGUGGCCCCGCGCACCCGCCGGUGUGCUCGUCCGGGCCGGAGCUGGCCUGAACCGGCCGCCCUAGCGCCGCCCCUCCCCUGCUCUCCUCCUCUGUUCCGUAAGGAACAGGAGCGAGAGGAGGAGGAAGACGACGCCUUGCCAGCUGGCCAGGCGGGCCCCCCCUCUCCAACGGACCCCACCCGUAAGUGUAUACUCUUCUUCUGCGGCUGAAAGUACGUUUCCCUUUCCGGAAAACGUAAUCUACCCGAAGGCGCUUUCUGUUUUAGCCGCCAGGGACCCGUUGGUGAUGAAAGUAUUCACAGAUUGGUCCCUGAUAUUCUACACCUCAUAACUCCGCCACCGUAACUCCGAUUGAGCCCCCUUCGAGAGAGAACUGUUUCCGGCGAAUCUUUCCGCGAUUGUUCCGCACUUCUUCCCGGAGCAUUCUUCAUCCCUAGG